UCUUCCUCCUCCUCCCCUUCCCAGGACACUGCAGAGACUCCCUGCCCUCUGACGUCCCACGUGGACAGCGACUCCUCCUCCAGUCACAGCCGCCAGGAGACUCCUCCCACAGCUCCCAUUGCCACAGUGGAGUCAGCAGCUGCCUUCCCACUGGCCACGCCCCCACAAAGGCGCCGCUCCUCUGCUCAGAGCUACCCUCCGCUUCUACCGUUCACUGGGAUUCCUGAACCUUCAGAGUCUUUAGCUGGGGCAGGGAGCCAGGGCUGGGGCAGCCGCGGCUAUGAGGACUACCGGCGAUCUGGACCACCGCCUCCACCUCUUGCCCUGUCUACCUGCGUUGUGCGCUUUGCCAAGACUGGUGCAUUGCGGGGUGCAGCCCUGGGUCCUCCAGUGUCACUCCCUGCCCCUCUCACAGAGGCUGCACCCCCAGCACCCCCUGCUCGUCCACCCCCAGGUCCAGGCCCCACCCCUGCUCCAGCCAAAGCCUCCCCAGAGGCUGAGGAGGCUGCACGCUGUGUGCACUGCCGAGCACUCUUCCGCCGCCGGGCAGAUGGGCGUGGUGGUCGCUGCGCAGAGGCCCCUGACCCAGGUCGCCUGCUAGUGCGCCGGCUCAGCUGCUUGUGGUGUGCCGAGAGCUUGCUGUACCACUGCCUGUCAGACGCCGAGGGUGACUUCUCGGACCCGUGUGCUUGUGAGCCAGGCCACCCACGCCCUGCUGCGCGCUGGGCUGCUCUGGCUGCUCUGUCUCUGGCAGUGCCCUGUCUCUGUUGUUAUGCGCCCCUGCGCGCCUGUCACUGGGUUGCAGCACGUUGUGGCUGUGCGGGCUGUGGGGGUCGCCACGAGGAGGCUGCACGGUGAGGAUUGUUGAGCUGGUUUGGAAAUCGGUCUGAAGACCCAAAAAUUGAAGGUCCAGGACCCUGAACAGCAUAUGAACCUAAAACCCAAACUUAGGUAUAUCUGGAACUUGAAUGGAUUUGAGAGAUCCCAGAUCUGGUACCUGGACCCCAAACUGAGGACUGAGAUACCGAGGCCCUGCUUCAUCAGGGUGUCUGCCCACCCGAAGUCCUGAAUUCUGGAUUCUCCAUACCUUUUCCCCACUGAGAAGACUUAGAAUAUUUUCAAACAUUGCAUCUCAAGGGGCCCAGGAGCUCACAUCUUGGACCCUGACUCUGUCUAAAUGCCCAACCCAGACUUCAGGUCAUACUUGACAUUGUAAACACUCAUCUUACGGCCCCCAAACUAGUCAAGAGUUACUCAAACUUGACACUAUUAUCAAAUGACUUAGACCUUGAGACCAGAGGACCCAGAAUCACCAGAAAAUGGUCCCUGAAUUUUCACCUGAGACCUGGUAUCUUCACAUUUAGAUGCUCUUAUAGCCCCAGGAUGGUUUGGAAUCACCAGAUACUGGCCUGAACUCUACCCGCUCCUGAGAGUCCACAGACAUUGCCAUCAGUUCAUGUGCAAGUGACCCGCAAAUUCCCUAGCACCCCAGAUUUAAAAUGUAUUAACUCCUUAGAUAUCCUCACAUAUGAGGUAUUUUCAGACCAAAAUUACUUGGGAGGCUCUUUUCAGAGCUCAGCAAGGUCCAGAUAUCAGAUACCAAGAUGCUGGGGGGGGGGGGGGGGAGCCAGGCUCCAAACACCUACUCCUUAAGCCAGCCAUGAGAAUUUGAGUCUUGUGGAUGGGCUCUGAGAUGCCUGGUAUCCUUAAAUGUCUGCCUGAAGGCCACCUGCACUUUGGGCCCAACACACUGGUUUGUAGAGAUUAGCUAACCUUCCGGUUUCCCUUAGGCCUGAAUUUUAAAAUAUUCUGGAAACAUCGGCUUCCUUCUGCCUACACUCCCCUUCCACCACGUUGGGUGGAAGCCUGGAACUUAGAAGAUGCGGUGGUCAUGGUAACCCAGGUCCUUCAUUCCUUGACUCUCAGCCCGAGAGCAAAUCCAAAGGGCUUUAUGAGCCCUGGAUCUAAGACCCAAGAUGCCAUUGGACCCUGGGUGCAGGAGUCAAGCCCUCACAAUUUUGGGAUUGGUUUUGGCCUGACACCUUGAUCCCUUCAGACCAGAGACAUUCAGCAACAAGAUGCCACAGUCUUUCAGCACCGUUAGGCUCCAGGUGUUCUUGAAUUCAAAGUACUUGUAGACUAAUGAAGCCCCCAUUUCCUCACUACCUGAUUUCCCCGUCUCCCAUGUCCUGCCAUCCAGAGGCCCAUAAAACUGAAAUGCCCUAGCAAUGCCCAGACUCCCACCCCCACCCCCUUUAUCCUAGGGCAGGGUACUUAAGCCAGUGUAAAUUCAGAUUCCUGGAAUCCGGGAUCACCUAGCAGUUUCCCCUUUCCCCUCUCUAGGGCCUGGCUUUGCUAUGGAAGAUUGUGUGCUGUCAGCUCAGCAGAGGCAGGCAGCUACAGGGAUCAAGCAGAGACCGCAGAAGGCCUACCCUUUGCACACCUGUAAUUCCGGGGCCAGCAAUUGAUCCCCAGAAGACCCACCCCCACCCCAACCUUGCAGAUUUCCCACACUAUAACCCCUAGUACAUUCAGGUCCCUCCCCUGUGAACCUCUUCCAUCUCAGUUGGGGGUUGCUCUGAAAAGCUCAGUAUUGUUUUGUAGUACUUCCCCAUGGAGAAGAGAGGAGCCACAGCCUCUUUUCCCUAAGUAGAGACACUAGGAUCAGGUGUCCUGGAUAGGAGAACUAAGAUUUCAGAGCCAAAGUCUUGAUGGUUCAUGGGCUUAGGACCUACAUCUGGCCCUAAGUACCUGGGAAUGUACACUUGAAUCAUUUUUCAUUACCCAGACUUGGGUGGCCUUGUGGGGGUUCAAGGGAUGAAUAUUUGUGUCACUUCCUUUAAAUUAUUAACUAUUUAUUGUAUCCGGAACCUGUGAUUCAGCUCCCCCAAGCAGAUCCUGGGAUGGGUGAGAGAAAAUGGGGAAAGAGGGUGUCCCUCCCAUCCCCCUUCUGCCCAGCUCUCAUCAAUUGUCAGACCCACCAGAGCUGAGGGCAGAGGGACUGGGGGCUGGGGCAGCCUGCGUCCCCAUCCUCUCUUUGUGCCUCGGUCUCCCCCCCUUCCAUGGUAAGCGGGGGAAGCUCCAUUCUUAACCUACCUCGUUUUGGGAAGGGGUGGGGAGGGGGACCAGAGUGCUGUAUGGUGCUGUGAGAUCUUCGGAUUAAGCAGUGGGGACUUGGGGAAGGUUCCCUAGUCCCCCAUCUCCAGUACCCCCUCUCCCAGGUCCCCUUGCCCUGUUCCUUGUCGAUACCCACCUCUGAUCCAUGAUUACCUUUCAUUGCCCCCAUAUCUGGGGUGCAUGGAGGACUGAACCCUGGGAGCCAGGAAGACCUCAGAUCCUAGAGCUCCCGAGCCCAAUUUUCCAGCUGCUUGCCCCCCAGACCUUGGGGGAGGUCCGCCAACAUUUCUCUUCCUGAUCUUGAUUCCAAGCCAGUCUGUAACCUUGUUAGUGUCAGGGCAGGCUGAUGUGGAGGGAGGAUGGGGGCCAAAGACCCAGCCUUGUCAUUGGGGGAGGGAGGGGACUUGAGAUCUGCUCCAAGAAAUGUCUGUGACUGUG
rnacentral:lncRNA from 1 species